UAACACAGGUGCUGCAUGGCUGUCGUCAGCUCGUGUCGUGAGAUGUUGGGUUAAGUCCCGCAACGAGCGCAACCCUUGUCNUUAGUUGCUACGAAAGGGCACUCUAAUGAGACUGCCGGUGACAAACCGGAGGAAGGUGGGGAUGACGUCAAGUCCUCAUGGCCCUUAUNGGUNGGGCUNCACACGUCAUACAAUGGNNGGUACAGAGGGUUGCCAACCCGCGAGGGGGAGCUAAUCCCAGAAAACCAGUCGUAGUCCGGAUCGCAGUCUGCAACUCGACUGCGUGAAGUCGGAAUCGCUAGUAAUCGCGGAUCAGNAUGNCGCGGUGAAUACGUUCCCGGGUCUUGUACACACCGCCCGUCACACCAUGGGAGCGGGUUCUGCCAGAAGUAGUUAGCCUAACCGCAAGGAGGGCG
rnacentral:rRNA from 1 species